ACUGAAAGGAAAAGUUCAGUUUAGGGUUUAAAACCCUAAUGCUGACUAAAGGAAAAGUUCAGUUUAGGGUUUAAAACCCUAAUGCUGACUGAAAGGAAAAGUUCAGUUUAGGGUUUAAAACCCUAAUGCUGAUUGCAAGGAAAAGUUCAAUUUAGGGUUUAAAACCCUAAUGCUGACUGAAAGGAAAAGUUUAGUUUAGGGUUUAAAACCCUAAUGCUGACUGAAAGGAAAAGUUCAGUUUAGGGUUUAAAACCCUAAUGCUGACUAAAGGAAAAGUUCAGUUUAGGGUUUAAAACCCUAAUGCUGAUUGCAAGGAAAAGUUCAGUUUAGGGUUUAAAACCCUAAUGCUGACUGAAAGGAAAAGUUCAGUUUAGGGUUUAAAACCCUAAUGCUGACUAAAGGAAAAGUUUAGUUUAGGGUUUAAAACCCUAAUGCUGACUGAAAGGAAAAGUUCAGUUUAGGGUUUAAAACCUUAAUGCUGACUAAAGGAAAAGUUCAGUUUAGGGUUUAAAACCCU
rnacentral:lncRNA from 1 species